GUAUUACUCCCUCCGUUCCAUAAUUUUUGUCGAAAUAUUACAUGUAUCUAGACACUUUCUAGAAAUAGAUACAUCCAUUUUGAAACAAAUUUGAGACAAAAAUUAUGAAACGGAAGGAGUAGCAA
rfam:Brachypodium distachyon strain Bd21 chromosome 4, whole genome shotgun sequence.